GAUCUUUCGUUCUUCACUUUAUUCAGAAUUCCAGAUUCGUAAGUCGGAACUGAGUUUUAUGGAUAGAGUGAAGGACGCUGGAUAGUGGCGAACGGGUGAGUAUAAGACAGGAACAUACUUCGAAGCGGGGCAUAGCCCACCGAAAGGUGGGGUAAUUUCCCAUAUGUCCCGAUUUAUCGGGAUGAAAGACGCAAGUCACUUCGAAAAUGGCCUAUCUACUACCAGCUAGUUGGUAAGGUAACGGCUUACCAAGGCUUUGACGGUUACCGGCUCUUAGCGGAGAGUCCGGCACAAUGGGACUGAGACACGGCCCAUACACCUACGGGUGGCAGCAGUUAGGAAUUUUGCGCAAUGGACGAAAGUCUGACGCAGCGACACCGCGUGGAGGAUGAAGACCUUAGGGUUGUAAACUCCUUUUUAGCGGCCAUGAAGGCCACUAGAAUAAGUAGCUACUAACUACGUGCCAGCAGUCGCGGUAAUACGUAGGCUACGAGCGUUACCCGGAUUUAUUGGGCGUAAAGGGUCUGUAGACGGUUUUCCAAGUCUGGUUUCAAAGCCCCCGACUCAAUCGGGGAAAGGGGUCAGAUACUGGGAUACUAGAGUCAUAUCGGGGUUACUGGAAUUUUUGGUGUAGGGGUUAAAUCCGUGGAUACCAAAAAGAACACCAAGCGCGAAGGCGGGUAACUAGGUAUGUACUGACGUUC
rnacentral:rRNA from 1 species